rnacentral:rRNA from 1 species
UACGUAGGGGGCAAGCGUUGUCCGGAAUCAUUGGGCGUAAAGAAGCGCGUAGGCGGCCCGGUAAGUCCGCUGUGAAAGUCAAAGGCUCAACCUUUGAAUGUCAGCGGAUACUGCCGGGCUAGAGUCCGGAAGAGGCGAGUGGAACUCCUGGUGUAGCGGUGGAAUGCGCAGAUAUCAGGAAGAACACCAACGGCGAAGGCAGCUCGCUGGGACGGAACUGACGCUGAGGCGCGAAAGCGUGGGGGAGCGAACAGG